rnacentral:misc_RNA from 1 species
AAGUCGUAACAAGGUUUCCGUAGGUGAACCUGCGGAAGGAUCAUUAUUGAAUAAAUCUGACGUGGUUGCAGCUGACUCUCCGGAGUACGUGCUCGCCUAGUCACCUUUAUCUUUCCACCUGUGCACACACUGUAGUCCUGGAUACCUCUCGUCGAAAGGCGGAUGCAGGGUUUGCUGUGACUUCGCAAGAAGGCCGGCUCACUCUGAAUUUCCAGGUCUAUGAUCUUACACACCCCAAACUGAAAGUUACAGAAUGUUAUCAUCGGGCUUCGUGCCUAUAAAUUUAUACAACUUUCAGCAACGGAUCUCUUGGCUCUC